AAUGACCGCUGGCGGCAGGCCUAACACAUGCAAGUCGAGCGGAGCGGCGGACGGGUGAGUAAUGCUUGGGAUUCUGCCCGGUAGUGGGGGAUAACGUCCGGAAACGGGUGCUAAUACCGCAUACUAUCAGAUGAGCCUAGUCAGUAUUAGCUAGUUGGUGGGGUAAAGGCCUACCAAGGCGACGAUCCGUAACUGGUCUGAGAGGAUGAUCAGCCACACUGGGACUGAGACACGGUCCAGACUCCUACGGGAGGCAGCAGUGGGGAAUAUUGGACAAUGGGCGAAAGCCUGAUCCAGCCAUGCCGCGUGUGUGAAGAAGGUCUUCGGGUUGUAAAGCACUUUAAGUUGGGAGGCGUGACCAGCAGAAUAAGCACCGGCUAACUCCGUGCCAGCAGCCGCGGUAAUUC
rnacentral:rRNA from 1 species